UUCACCUUUAAAGACAGUCCAGAGAGGCUGAAAAGGAUGCGAAGAAUGUGGGAUUACUGUAUGCGUACAGUGUAUUUGACAUAUCUAUAAGUAUACCUAUAACCUCUCGGGCAUAACGCUCGGGAGUUUUUUUAU
rfam:Kurthia sp. 11kri321, complete genome.